UCUCGCAUCAGGAGGCAAGG
rnacentral:miRNA from 1 species